GACGAACGCUGGCGGCGUGCUUAACACAUGCAAGUCGAACGGAAAGGCCCUGCUUUUGUGGGGUGCUCGAGUGGCGAACGGGUGAGUAACACGUGAGUAACCUGCCCUUGACUUUGGGAUAACUUCAGGAAACUGGGGCUAAUACCGGAUAGGAGCUCCUGCUGCAUGGUGGGGGUUGGAAAGUUUCGGCGGUUGGGGAUGGACUCGCGGCUUAUCAGCUUGUUGGUGGGGUAGUGGCUUACCAAGGCUUUGACGGGUAGCCGGCCUGAGAGGGUGACCGGCCACAUUGGGACUGAGAUACGGCCCAGACUCCUACGGGAGGCAGCAGUGGGGAAUAUUGCACAAUGGGCGGAAGCCUGAUGCAGCAACGCCGCGUGCGGGAUGACGACCUUCGGGUUGUAAACCGCUUUCGCCUGUGACGAAGCGUGAGUGACGGUAAUGGGUAAGGAAGCACCGGCUAACUACGUG
rnacentral:rRNA from 1 species